rnacentral:rRNA from 1 species
ACGGCCACACCUAGGCGAAAACACCAGUUCCCGUCCGAUCACUGCAGUUAAGCGUCUGAGGGUCUCGUUAGUACUAUGGUUGGAGACAACAUGGGAAUCCGGGAUGCUGUUAGGCUU